rnacentral:rRNA from 1 species
UACGUAGGGUGCAAGCGUUGUCCGGAAUUAUUGGGCGUAAAGAGCUCGUAGGCGGUCUGUCGCGUCUGCUGUGAAAAUCCAGGGCUCAACCCUGGACCUGCAGUGGGUACGGGCAGACUAGAGUGCGGUAGGGGAGACUGGAAUUCCUGGUGUAGCGGUGAAAUGCGCAGAUAUCAGGAGGAACACCGGUGGCGAAGGCGGGUCUCUGGGCAGUAACUGACGCUGAGGAGCGAAAGCGUGGGGAGCAAACAGG